GUGUAUACAUGUGAAAGCAUGUGUGAGUGUGUAAGCAUGAGUGUGCCAGUGAGUGUGUACACAUGAGUGUGUCAGCAAGAAUGUGUGUGUGUGUGUGUGUGUGUGUGAGAGAGAGAGAUGUAUGAGUGUUAUUGCCCAGGGAGGUGGGAUCAGACCCCUCCUGUGUGCAUGGCCCACAGUGCUCCCCAGAACUGCCCUUGCAGCCUGCUCUAGCUGACAGCUCACCUCCUUCCUCCCACAGCCUUCUGCGCCCACAGACCCUGAGGCUUCGGGUGCCUAAGGGGAAAGAGGGCGCUGGAGUCCAACCCAGCUCACCCCCAGCCCAGCUGCACUCUCCAAACGCCUGCCUGACCUGAGGUGUCCCUCUGAAGAGCCCCUGAGCCCACUGGCACCCCUGGGAGGGAUCCCUUGCCCAUGUGCUGGCUGCCUUGAGUCUUUGGGGCCACACAGCCUCCCGUCCGCAUCUCCAGGGCUCUGGCCCUGUCCAGCCCCUGGACCAGCUCCCAAGCCUAUUCCUCACCCCAGUCUGGGCUGAGGGGACUCCUCAAGCUUCAGGACUCAACAGGGCACAGUAGCAGUCACGUGCAUGCUGGGACCGCAACGGACAGGCUGCCACUCCCAGGGCCCCCAGAGGCCCGUCUGUUUGCCUCCCGGCGCCGUCUGA
rnacentral:lncRNA from 1 species